rnacentral:rRNA from 1 species
GAUGAACGCUAGCGGCAGGCUUAAUACAUGCAAGUCGAGGGGCAGCAGGACGGUAGCAAUACCGUUGCUGGCGACCGGCAAACGGGUGCGGAACACGUACGCAACCUACCCAUAACUGGGGGCUAGCCCGGGGAAACCCGGAUUAAUACCUCGUAACCUUAUGAAGUGGCAUCGCUUUAUAAGUAUAGCUCCGGCGGUUAUGGCUGGGCGUUCGCCUGAUUAGGUAGUUGGCGGGGUAACGGCCCACCUAGCCUGCGAUCAGUAACUGGUGUGAGAGCACGACCAGUCACACGGGCACUGAGACACGGGCCCGACUCCUACGGGAGGCAGCAGUAAGGAAUAUUGGUCAAUGGACGCAAGUCUGAACCAGCCAUGCCGCGUGAAGGAUGAAGGUCCUCUGGAUUGUAAACUUCUUUUAUAGGGGAAGAAAUCUGAAUAUUCCUAUUCAGUUGACGGUACCCUAGGAAUAAGCACCGGCUAACUCCGUGCCAGCAGCCGCAGUAACAC